rnacentral:misc_RNA from 1 species
AACUUUCAGCAAUGGAUCACUUGGCUCUCGCCUCGAUGAAGAACGCAGCGAAAUGCGAUAAGUAAUGUGAAUUGCAGAAUUCAGUGAAUCAGCGAAUCUUUGAACGCACCUUGCGCUCCUUGGUAUUCCGAGGAGCAUGCCUGUUUGAGUGUCAUUAAUAUAUCAACCUUCUCUUGUUUGAGUUGUUUGGAUGUGGGGGUUUGCUGGACUCUUAAAUGAAUCAGCUCCCCUGAAAUGCAUUAGCAGAACAACCUGUUCAUUGGCGUGAUAAUUAUCUAUGCUAUUGAAAGUGAGGGCAGUUCAGCUUUCUAAUCGUCCUUGGACAAUUUAUCAUUAAUGUGACCUCAAAUCAGGUAGGACUACCCGCUGAACUUAAGCAUAUCAAUAAGCGGAGGCU